UUUUUUGUUUUUUGUUUCUUUUUUUUUUUUUGGGGCCUUCUCUUUUUUUGGCAUUUCCUUUUUUUAUUUCCUCACAUGGGACAAUGCUCUAAUAAUGAAGAUCGUCACACUUUUAUUUACUUACAACUCAAGAAUUACAACUCGAUAGUUAGAACAAAAUAUGACUCUAUAUGAAUGCCUCCGGCGGUGUACCGGGAUGUGCAAUGAAUCAAGAGUGACAUGUAUGAAAUAAUUAUGAAUGGUGGCUUUGCCACAAAUACGAUCAACUACAUGAUCAUGCAAAACAAUAUGAUAAUGAUGAAGUGUGUCAUAAUAAGAGAAACGGUGGAAAGUUGCAUGACAAUAUAUCUUGGAAUGGCUAUGGAAAUGCCAUAAUAGGUAGGUAUAUAUGGUGGCUAUUUUGAGGAAGGUAUAUGGUGGGUUUCUGGUACCGGCGAAAUUUGUGCGGCACUAGAGAGGCUAGCGAUGGUGGAAGGGUGAGAGUGUGUAUAAUCCAUGGACUCAACAUUAGUUAUAAAGAACUCACAUACUUAUUGCAAAAAUCUAUUAGUCAUAGAAACAAAGUACUAUGCGCAUGCUCCUAGGGGGGUAGAUUGGUAGGAAAAGACCAUCGCUCUUCCCCGACCGCCAUUCAUAAGGAAGACAAUCAUUAAAUACCUCAUGCUCCAACUUCGUUAUAUAAAGGUUCACCAUACAUGCAUGCUACGGGAAUCACAAACAUUAACACAAGUAUUUCUCAAAUUCACAAUUACUCACUAGCAUGACUCUAAUAUCACCAGCUUCAUAUCUCAAAACAAUCAUAAGGAAUCAAACUUCUCAUAGUAUUCAAUGCACUUUAUAUGAAUUUUUUAUUAUAUUCCUCUUGGAUGCCUAUCAUAUUAGGACUAAAUUCAUAACCAAAGCAAAUUACCAUGCUGUUUAGAGACUCUCAAAAUAAUAUAAGUGAAGCAUGAGAGUUCAUCCAUUUCUACAAAGUAAAACUACCAUCGUGCUCUAAAAAGAUAUAAGUGAAGCACUAGAGCAAAUGACAAACUACUCCAAAAGAUAUAAGUGCAGAUCAAUGAGUAGUCAAAUGAUUAUGCAACUAUGUGAAGACUCCUUCUCAUAAAUAAAAUUUCAGAUCUUAAGUACUUUAUUCAAACAUCAAGAAAAACAAAAUAAAAUGACAUUGCAAGGAUAGCACAUAUCAUGUGAAGAAGCAAAAACUUAGGCUCAACCAAAACUGACCGAUAGUUGUUGAAGAAGAAAGGCGGGAUGCCUACUGGGGCAUCCCCACGCUUAGGUGCUUGAGACUUCUUGGAAUAUGAACUAGGGAUGCCUUGAGAAUCCCCAAGCUUGAGCUUUUGUGUCUCCUUAAUUACUUUUGUAUCGCGGUUUCCCUAAAUCUCAAAAACUUCAUCCACACAAAACUCAACAAGAACUCGUGAGAUAAGUUAGUAUAAAUCCAUGCUAAACCUUAUCAUUCUCUACUGUAGAAAGUCACUAAAAUUAUAAUUUGAUAUUGCCUACUAAAUGCCUCUCCAUAUUUAAUAGUCCUAUCCUCAAAUAGAAUCAUUAAACAAGCAAACAUAUGCAAUCAUAAUAGCAAUCUGUCUAAACAGGAUAGUCUAUAAAGAAUGCAAGAGGAAUCAUACUUCUUUAACUCCAAAAAUUCUGAAAAAUUACCACACUGUAGAUAAUUUUUUGUUACUUAUUGUGCAAAAAUAUCAAGAUUUUUUCAUGUUCUGACUAUUCACAAAUAUUCAAAACAUAACAGCAAACUUUCUGUGUUUAAAACAACAACAUAUGGACUUGCAAAAUAAGCAUGGUAAAGGCUAUACUUGACCUUUUUAUUGAACUAAAAGAUGCAAAACAUUACUCUAAAUAACAACAAGCAAAUCCUAAUAAAGGAAAAUGACGCUCCAAGCAAAACACAUAUCAUGUGGUGAAUAAAAAUAUAGCCUCAAGUAAAGUUACUGAUGAACGAAGACGAAAGAGAGGAUGCCAUCCGGGGCAUCCCCAAGCUUAGAUGCUUGGUUGUCAUUGAAUAUUACCUUGGCGUGCCUUGGGCAUCCCCAAGCUUAGGCUCUUUCCACUCCUUAUUCCAUAGUCCAUCGAAACUUUACCCAAAACUUGAAAACUUCACAAUACAAAACUUAACGGAAAACUCAUAAGCUCAGUUAGUAUAAUAAAGCAAAUCGCCACUUAGGUGCUUUCAAGAAAAGAUUCAUAAUUUUUCACACAUUAUGCAUACUCUACCCUAUCAUUUCUACAAUUUAUAUUAAGAAAUAUAAUCCAUAGAAACUAGAAAAUAAGCAAACUAUGCAUCAAAAACAGAACAAUCUGUAGUAAUUUGUAACUCUCGAAUACUUCUGUAACUCCAAAAAUUCUGAAAAAUUAGGACAGCCUAAGAAAUUUGUUUAUUAAUCUUCUGUAAAAAGAAUCAGUAUUUUAUCACGCUUCUGUUAAAAAUUAGAAUUGUUUUCCUGAGCGCAAAAGUUUCUGUUUUUCAGCAAGAUCAAAUCAACUAUCACCAUAGAUCAUCCCAAAAGUCUUACUUGGCACUUUAUUGAAACAAAAGCUAUAAAACAUGAUCACUGCAGUAGCUUAAUCGUGUGAACACACAAAAACAGUAGGUAUAAUUGUUGGGUUGUCUCCCAACAAGCGCUUUUUCUUUAUUGCCUUUCUAGCUAGGCAUGAUGAUUUCAAUGAUGCUCACAUAAAAGAUAAGAAUUGAAACAUAAUGGGAGCAUCAUGAAGAAUUUGACUAGCACAUUUAAGUCUAAUCCACUUCCUAUGUAUAGAGUUUUUGUGAGAAAACAACUUACGGAAGCAAGAAUCAACUAGCAUAAGAAGGUAAAACAAGCAUAACUUCAAUAUUUUCAACACAUAAAGAGGAAACUUGAUAUUAUUGCAACUCUUACAAGCAUAUAUUCCUCCUUCAAAAUAAUUUUCAGUAGCAUCAUGAAUGAAUUCAACAAUAUAGGUAUCACAUAAACCAUUCUUUUCAUGAUCUACAAGCAUAGAAAUUUUACUACUCUCCACAUAAGCAAAAUUCUUCUCAUUCAUAGUAGUGGGAGCAAACUCAACAAAAUAUCUAUCAUGUGAGGCAUAAUCCAAUUGAAAAUUAAAAUCAUGAUGACAAGUUUCAUGGUUAUCAUUAUCCUUUAUAACAUACAUGUCAUCACAAUAAUCAUCAUAGAUAGGAGGCAUCCUUUCAUCAUAAUGAAUUUGCACAUCAAAAUCCGGGGGACUAAAAAUAUCAUCUUCAUCAAACAUAGCAUCCCCAAGCUUGUGGCUUUGCAUAUCAUUAGCAUCAUGGAUAUUCAAGGAAUUCAUACUAACAACAUUGCAAUCAUGCUCAUCUUUCAAAGAUUUAGUGCCAAACAUUUUAAUGCAUUCUUCUACUAACACUUUGGCACAAUUAUCGGAAUCCUUAUUUUCACGAAAGACAUUAAAAAGAUGAAGCAUAUGAGGCAACCUCAAUUCCAUUUUUGUAGUUUUCUUCUAUAGACUAAACUAGUGAUAAAACAAGAAACUAAAAGGUUCAAUUGCAAGAUCUAAAGAUAUACCUUCAAGCACUAACCUCCCCGGCAAUAGCGCCAGAAAGAUCUUUGUUGACGGUAUGUGAGUACCGCUUACCUAGCCCCCCCCCCAGCAAUGGCGCCAGAAAUGAGCUUGAUGUCUACUACACAACCUUCUUCUUAUAGACUUGUGUCGGGCCUCCAAGCGCAGAGUUUUGUAGGACAGUAGGAAAUUUCCCUCAAGUGGAUGAUCUAAGGUUUAUCAAUCCGUGGGAGGCAUAGGAUGAACAUGGUCUCUCUCAAAAAACCCUACAACCAAAUAAAAAAGAGUCUCUUGUGUCCCCAACACACCCAAUACAAUGGUAAAUUGUAUAGGUGCACCAGUUCAGCGAACAGAUGGUGAUAAAAGUGCAAUAUGGAUAGUACAUAUAGGUUUUUGUAAUCUGAAAAUAUAAAAACAGCAAGGUAGCAAGUAACAAAAGUGAGCAAAGACGGUAUUGCAAUGCUUCAAAAUAAGGCCUAGGGUUCAUAAUUUCACUAGUGCAAGUUCUCUCAACAAUGAUAACAUAAUUAGAUCAUAUAACAACCCCUCAACAUGCAACAAGGAGUCACUCCAAAGUCACUAAUAGCGGAGAACAAACGAAGAGAUUAUUGUAGGGUAUGAAACCACCUCAAAGUUAUUCUUUCUGAUCAAUCUAUUGGGAUAUUCCUAUAAGUGUCACAAACAGCCCUAGAGUUCAUACUAAAAUAACACCUUAAGACACACAUCAACCAAAACGCUAAUGUCACCACAAGUAUCCGCGGGUUUGAUUAUACAAUAUGCAUCACACAAUCUCAGAUUCAUCUAUUCAAACCAACACAAAGAACUUCAAAGCGUGCCCCAAAGUUUCUACCGGAGAGUCAAGGCGAAAACGUGUGCCAACCCCUAUGCAUAAGUUCACAAGGUCACAGAACCAGCAAGUUGAUCACCAAAUCAUACGUCAAGUAGAUCACGUGAAUAUCCCAUUGUCACCAUAGAUAAACACAUGCAAGACAUACAUCAAGUGUUCUCAAAUCCUUAAAGACUCAAUCUGAUAAGAUAACUUCAAAGGGGAAACUUAAUCCAUUACAAGAAGGUAGAGGGGGGGGAAACAUCAUAAGAUCCAACUAUCAUAGCAAAGCUUGCGGUACAUCAAGAUCGUGCCAACUCAAGAACACGAGAGAGAGAGAGAGAGAGAGAGAGAGAGAGAGAGAUCAAACACAUAGCUACUGGUACAUACCUUCAGCCCCGAGGGUGAACUACUCCCUCCUCGUCAUGGAGAGCGUCGUGAUGAUGAAGAUGGCCACCGGUGAUGAUUCUCCCCUCCGGCAGGGUGCCGGAACAGGGUCCCGGUUGGUUUUUGGUGCCUACAGAGGCUUGCGGCAUCGGAACUCCCGAUCUAGGUUCUGUUCGGGUUUUUUUUGGGGAUUUAUAAGAGGUGUUGACGUCGGGAACAAGUUAGGGGGACCCACGAGGCAGCCAUAAGGUCGGGGGCGCGCCCUAGGGGGGCCCUCCACCCUUGUGGUGGCCUCGGGACUCUUGUCUGGUAUCUUUUCGUUCCACUAUUUUUUAUAUUUUCCAAAAAUAAUCUCUAUAAAUUUUCAGGUCAAUUGGACUCCGUUUGAUAUUCCUUUUUUGCGAAACUCAAAAAUAGGGAAAAACAGAAAUUGGCACUGGGCUCUAGGUUAAUAGGUUAGUCCCAAAAAUCAUAUAAAAUAGCAUAUAAAUGCAUAUAAAACAUCCAAGAUAGAUAAUAUAAUAGCAUGGAACAAUCAAAAAUUAUAGGUACGUUGGAGACGUAUCAACGGGGUAGCGGUGGCCUCCGUCAUGCCUGCCUUCAACGCGCAGGGGCUUGUGGUGCUCACGCUCCUCAACUCCCCGGUGUUGGUGUCCUCCGGCCAGGUCUCCGGGAAGGAAGGGAACUCAGAGGCGACCCUGGAGGAGGUGGGGGAGAGCUCUCCCCCAUGGCAGAGCGAGCUCCUCCGCGGUCUCUCUGAUGAUGAUGAUGCUGGCGAAUAUCUGGUUGAGGGUUCCCCGCGCUCCAUCGGGGGUAUCAUGAGGUCCGGGAACCCCUUUGCGGAGGCCGGGAUGAGGGACCCCGGAGAAGGGCAAGGCUAUAUUGCUUCCCUGGGGCAACGCACCCGCCUUGCCGCCCGUUGCCGCUACUCCAGAGCCAGCCGAUCUUGAGGGUGCGGCGAGGCCUGUGAUGAAGAAGCUUGGAGGCGCCGCGCUCCUGUCCAAGAGGCGGGCGUAUGUUGCUGACGACGAGUAAGUACUUCACCUUGCAUUUGCUCCCUAUCUUUGAUGUCGUGCUCAUGAGGUUCUCGUCCUAGUGGCCAGGCUACAGCCAAUGGUGAAGAGGAAGAGGGAGGAGGCCAGGGCCUCUAAGGCCACGUGUCCUGCUGUGGUCACGACGACCCCGACGCGGGAGGAAGGGCCCGCCCCACGUCUUCCCACGACAGAGCGAGCCUCUCGGGGCUCGGCAGCCCAGCCUCGGGAGAAGACUGCCUCUAUGGCCAAGCCGACUCCGGGGGCGUCCGUCUCCAUAGCACCCGCUGGGGGUUCGAGGGCUCUGGAGCCCCCUGCCAUCCUUGCCGCUUCUACAUCGCCAGCCCAGGCGUCGGUGUCACCUCCUCCCCAAGUCCUAAAGUUGGCGGAUCAUGGCUCCUAUGCCUUGCCCAGUGCUUUGGAGGAGGCCUUCAUCGUGUUGGGCCGGCUCCGGACAGAUCUUCAGGGCGCCGACCGGCGCGUGGUGGUGGGGCACCUGGAGCUGAUCUCCGGGUGGCUUCAGGCCGACUCGUCCAUCAGGACGGCCUGGGGUCAGGCCGAGGCCGCCGUCACGGAGGGCAAGAGGGGGACCGGUGAAGCCAUAGCAACUCAUGAUACGACGCUCAACGAGGCGGCGUCUACCAAGGAGCGCUGCCGUACAGUGGAGGCCGAGCUGAAGGCCCUCCGUGAUGAGCAGGCUGCCCGCACCCGUCAGCUCAAGGAGCAGGAGGAGGAACUGAAGGCCCGGGAGAUGGCACUCGCCAACCGCGAUGCCGAAUUGGAGCAGGUAUCCCAGGAACAGGCUGCGGAGCGGAACCGCCUGGGGAAGCUAAAGGAGGAGCUGGAGGCGGCCCAGGCGUCCCACACCAAGCUUGUCUCCGAGGAGAAGGCCGGGCUGGAGGCCAGGGAGAAGUCCCUCGUCGCGGCUGAGCAGGCGGUCGCCACAGGGUGCAACGCCUUUGUCUCCAUCGAGUCGAGGUCCCACGCGGCGCUGUAGGACCUUUACGAGGAAGGGUAUGAGAAGCCGUUGGCGACUCUAGAGGAAGGCCUCGCCGGGCUGCUCCCCAAGCUUGCUGUGGUGCUCGAGGGCAUCAUCGUCGGAGGGGGCCCCAUGGUGGAGGAAGAGGCUCGCACGCUUUUUACCUUGGUUGCAACGGGCAUCUUCAGCCACCUCCACCUUCGGGCCCCCAUCUUUCACCUUGGUGUGUUGCUCGAACCCGUGGCCCCUGAGCUCCACGAUGCUGCCGCUGAGGCCGUGAAGAAGCAGGUGGAGGCCCUGCUGCAGAAGUUCCUCUGCGUUGACCCCGCGACCGCGACUGGUGGCAAGGACGGCGGCCGUUGUUGAUGACGGGCCUCCCCAGGCGAGCGAUGGCGGUGUCCAAGGCUGAGGAAGAGGCUCGAAGGUGGCGCUUCCCCCUAUUUUAUUCCUGCAACAUUUUAUCGUGCCUUGUGGAGGCGUAAAAACUUAUGCUUUGAGUUUCAAGAGACAUUAUGUUUUGUAAUAAUUUGCUAGGAUUUCGUGACUUCCUUUCCGCUUGCUUUAGUGUUCUGCGUCGGCAGGGCCCAGCCCUGCGCAUACCUCAGCCGCCGUUGGGGCGUCCGGAUCACCAGGACGAGACCAAGGGGUGAGGGGCUACGUGACCGGUUAGGCCCCUGGGUCGUGAUGCCCAGAGGUCCUCCUUGACAUAUGGAAAGCUUUCAAGAAGGAGGCGUGACUGUUGUUUUUAGUGUUCUGCAUCGGUAGGGCCCGGCCCCGCGCAUACCUCAGCCAUCGUUGGGGCGUCCGGAUCACCAGGAUGAGACCAUGGGGUGAGGGGCUACAUGACCAGUUAGGCCCCUGAGUCGCGAUGCUCAGGGGUCCCCCUUGACGUACGAACAGCCCUCCAUACCUUUCCUCACCGGGCUUUCUCUCAAGAGGGACGCGAGAAGACCAGGUCCAAGGGACCUGGUGAGGUGGCGUAUGCCAGACAUGACCUGACCAUAGCCCCCGUGCACAGCCCCCUUGCGCGACCCUCCUGAGGGGAAGGCAUUGCGGUGAGACUGAGCAACGAGCCUGGUGGCUCUCCUGAGGUUGAUGUAGCCUCUAGGUUGCCCUCAGUUGUUUAUUCACUAGCACGGAGCAUGGUGCUUCCGCUCUUGCAUGGGCAUAGCCGCUCCUCGACCAUGUCAUCCACCAGCCUGGAGCAUGGGGCUUCCACUGGUUUGUGGGUGGGAGCUCCCUCUGAGAGGAGACUCUAGGAUGUGUACAACCCCGUCCUGGCACAUGGCUUGCACGACAGGACUAGAGGAGGUGUAUAUGGGCACUCGUGAGCUUGCACGGGACUGAUGAGCCCCUACCUCAAGGAGGGUUGCGCCUGAAUUUGAUUUGGAACACUUGUGAUGGUCCUGCGAGAUGGUUAGGCAACCUGCACCGAGUGAAUCUAUGAGGAUAUCGCAUGAGAAGGCCAAACACCAACGACCCCAAGAGGUGACGUGAACGGGACCAGCCCGCCAGACAGAGCUCAACCGUUGGGUUUGUCGAUGCUGCAGGGACUGACCUGAGAACAGACGUCGUGCCCAGUCUUCUCAUGCGAAGGUCCUCAAGAAAGACAACCGGCACGCGGCUCCCGCGGCGGCGAGGCACCGGGUCGUGCACCCUAACUUAUCUGUUCCCGAUUAGCUCAUGCGAGAACAAGGCACCAAGGACCAUGGGAGGUGACGUGCACGGGAGCUGUCCCACGAGCCAGAGCUCAGCCACUUGGGUUUAGCGACGCUGCAGGGACGGACCCGAGCACAGAUGCCGUGCCAGUCCUUAAUCACGAGGCAGGCGUGGGGGGGUUUGUAAGGGCAUACGAUGUUCAUGCCGACGAAGCGCCGGACAGACAGGUUAUAAUCAUAAAGCAACUCAUGGAAGGGUAAGGCCAGUUCUGAUAGAUGCAAAGAACGAUAAUGCCGCAGGGACAGACCCACAUGACUUGGGUAUAAUGCAGCCCAAGGGGCGCCCCCAACUGAAUAAACCAAAAAGUGUCACCUGGCACCGUUGCUGAAGAAGUGUUGGAGUAGCUGAAGACGCGCACUGCAGAAGUCGCUCCUCAUGAGUCGUCCAGGUCCUGAACCUCGUGAGGCUCUGGAGGCCCGGGGGCUCGCGAGGAUCCAAGGCUACCUCCGCUAGGAUCACUUGGUGCCUGGCCUCAUGAGCCGCCAGGACGCCCCGCAUGUGGUGCUGGUGUGUGGCAGCCUUGUUCAGCAAACCGAAAGGCAUGCGAACGUAGCUGCGAGGGGGGCCACCGCACCGACCAACAUGGGACGGCCAGAAGAGCUCCUGAGACACGACUCUGUUGAGCCCUGGGAUGUUGACGCAGACACGCAGCUCACUGCCCUCGUCAGGGGAGGGAGCCGUGUUGCGUGGUGCAGGGCAACGGUUGCCUCGCAUGGCUCUUGCCUCCUGAAGCUCCUUGGUUGCCUUGGUGAUGAACUCCUGAGCACUUGGCGCCUCGCGCCCUGCGCCCUCCUCAUGGAAACACGCGUUGAAGCACGCCUCCACAUGGUGCCCGAGUGCCUCCCUCGUGACGUUGGCCAGGUCAGAGGCCCUCCAGAGGAGAGCCCCCGAGCCCAGCUGUAACACCCUCGAUGCGACUAUAUCUCCCACGUGUCGAGGCACGACUUAGAGGCAUAAUCGCAUUGAAGGCAUAUGUCGCAAGUUAGGCAAUCUUCACAACAUCCCAUGUAAUAUAAAUAAUAAAGGGGAGAUAACAUAGUUGGCUUACACUCGCCACGUCAAUCAAGUACAUAAAUAACAUUACAUCAUCCAAACACUCAUGGCCCGACUACGGCACCAAAAUAAAAGAUAACCCAACAUGCGACAACGGUCCCGUUCACCCCCAACUGGGCACCACUACUGAUCAUCGGGAAAGGAAACAUAGUAUUGUUGAGGAGUCUUCGUCGAACUCCCACUUGAGCUCAUACACGUCUCCUGGAGCGGAAUCAUCAGGGCCUGCAUCUGGUGUAAUAGUAAUCUGUGAGCCACAGGGACUCAGCAAUCUCGCACCCUCGCGAUCAAGACUAUUUAAGCUUAUAGAUAAGGCAAGGUAAAUAUAUGUGGAGCUGCAGCAAGCGACUAGCAGGUAUGGUGGCUAACUUAUUCGCAAAAGAGAGCGAGAAGAGGAGGCAAAGCACGAGCGAGAAACUAGAGAACAACCUGCGCAAACAUUACUCCAACACCGUGUCCACUUCCUAGACUCCGCCGAGAAGAGGCCAUCACGGUAACACACUCGGUUGAUUCAUUUUAAUUAAGUUAAGGUUCAAGUUAUCUACAACCGGACAUUAACAAAUUCCCAUCUGCCAAUAACCGCGGGCACGGCUUUCGAAAGUUCAAUCCCUGCAGGGGAGUCCCAACUUAGCCCAUGACAAGCUCUCACGGUCAACGAAGGAAUAAACCUCCUCCCAAGACGUUCCGAUCAGACUCGGUAUCUCGGUAAUUCAAGACACUUCGACAGGUUAAAACAAGACCAGCAACACCGCCCGAAUGUGCCGACAAAUCCCGAUAGGAGCUGCACAUAUCUCGUUCUCAGGGCACACUCAGAUAGGUCAAGCUACGAGUAAAACCAACCCUCAAGUUUCCCCAAGGUGGCCCCGCAGGCUGCCCGGUUCGGACCAACACUCAGAGGAGCACUGGCCCGGGGGGGUUAAAAUAAGAUGACCCUCGGGCUCCGGUAACCCAAGGGAAAAAGAGGCUAGGUGGAGAAUGGUAAAACCAAGGUUGGGCAUUGCUGGAAAAGCUUUAAUCAAGGCGAACUAUCAAGGGGUUCCCAUUAUAACCCAACCGCGUAAGGAACGCAAAAUCCGGGAACAUAACACGGAUAUGACGGAAAACUAGGGCGGCAAGAGUGGAACAAAACACUAGGCGAGAGGCCGAGCCUUCCACCCUUUACCAAGUAUAUAGAUGCAUUAAGAUAGCAAGAUAAUAUAAUGAUAUCCCAACAAGUAAAUAAUUGUUCCAACAAGGAACGCCUUCAAUCUUCACCUGCAACUAGCAACGCUAUAAGAGGGGCUGAGCAACGCGGUAACAUAGCCAAUCAACGGUUUGCUAGGACAUGGUGGGUUAGAGGUUUGACAUGGCAAUUUGGGAGGCUUGAAAGCAAGUGGUAGGCAUCGUAGCAAUGGCAUAGCAAAAGAGCGAGCAAACUAGCAUAGCAAAGAUAGUAGUGAUUUCGAGGGUACGAUCAUCUUGCCUGCACAGUUAUCAGAGUUGACUGGAUCCUCGAAAGCAAACUCAACGAGCUCCUCAUUAGCGAACUCAUCUCCCGGCUCUACCCAAACAAGACAAACAAGCAACAAGGGCACAAUCAACCACGUGCAAACUCAAACAACACAAUGCAAAGAUGAUAUGCUAUGCGGGAUGCGAUGCGGGAUGCAAAAUGCAAGAUAUGACAGGAAAUGCAUGAACCUGGCCUCAACUUGGAAAUCCAAGUGUGCCACUGGAAAGAUGAGACUAAAUCGCUUGAAAACUAUAUAAAGAACGCCGGAAUCGGAGUUACGGUUUGGAAAUGGCAAGCGAUUCAAAUAUGACACCGGUCUGCGAUUUACAGCAAGUAGCCAACUAAAUGCAAUGAGAUGAACAUGCUACAGCAACCAAACAUGACAAAAAAAGGCAUGGCAGGGAUGCAUUCAAGAUGCUUAACAAAAGUCUAGCACUGAGCUACGGCCAAUUCAUCCAUUAACAUGUUCAAACAAGCAUGGCAAAAAUGCAUAUGGCAAACAAAUCUCAGACUUAGUGAAAUUAACACUUGUCUGGAAUUUCAGAUCAGGUAGCCCUCUUCGGAGCCACAAAACUACAAGCUACAGGAUAUGAACAUGGCAAAGUAAAGCAUGGCAUGGAGCUACUCAAAGAUCUUAACAAAAGUCCCUUAGUGACCUUGAGCCAAAAGGGAUCAGAAAAUACAAUUGCAAGCAUGUGAACAUAGCAAAAACAUAAUCAGUUUUCAGACUUAGUGAAAACUGGCACAUGCUGAAACAUAACUCAAGUAGGCAUGUUUAUGAGCUCGAUGCACUCACUACGGUGCAAGUCAUGGCAAGACAAGCAUACAUCCAUCAAGAAGGCACAAAAUGCAAGCUAGACAUGGCAAGAACAAUAGCAUAGCAUGCACGGAUCGACUACAACACCAUCGGCAAAAUUGCAAACAAGUUGACAAUCUGCCCAGAUUCACAGAGUAGCAAAAGUAGAGCUCGAUUGACUCAAGCUAGGGUGCUCCAUAAUUGCAAACAAAGAUAUGGAUAGAUAGAGCACUACAAGAUUAACAAAACAUCCUUACUGAUCAUCCUCAAAAGAGGCACGGAUCACUAGGAAACAACAUGAACAUAUGGCAUCAUGAGAUAAAUAGCUCCAGGACUUAGUGGAAAUGCUAAGUCCCUGAAAACAGAAUUACUAAGUGCACCACUUUGCAAGCUUGCACUAGUCACCUCACACAUCACAAAAAUACAUGGGUUGCACCUCUGGAAAGAUGACAAAACCCUUAACAAAACACAUGUAGAGCAUCAGGGCAUAUCAUGCACACAUUAAUCAUGGCAAAAAUGACAAAAACCUAAACGGAGCAGCAGAUCUGACAAUAAUCUCAAGUAGCCCUCUUCUAACAGCAUUUAGGGCAUCAAGAUGAACUCAAAUGAAAAUGAUGCAAUGGAAUGAAAUGAUGUACUCUCUGAGAUGAACAUUUUGAUAUGCUAUAUGCAUGAAUCGGAGCUACGGAUGCAAAGUUACGGAGCCACGAACAUGAGCACUUGAACUGAAAAUUUCAGGGACUUAGACAAAAAUUCAACCUCCCAGAUCUAGGGUUUCGGCGGCACGCAAUCCGAGGCAAGUCCGGCGAGCUCCUGGCGGCUCUGGCGAGUGAAGAGGCGGCGGGGAGGCGAGGGAGAGGUGGAUCCGGUCCGUCCCGACCGGAUCCGGCGGCGGGUGGCGGUCUCCGGCCACCAGAGAUGGUGAGAAGGCGCGGGGCAGCGAUGCUCGCGGUGGCCGGGGCGAGAUCUGGCCGNNNNNNNNNNNNNNNNNNNNNNNNNNNNNNNNNNNNNNNNNNNNNNNNNNNNNNNNNNNNNNNNNNNNNNNNNNNNNNNNNNNNNNNNNNNNNNNNNNNNNNNNNNNNNNNNNNNNNNNNNNNNNNNNNNNNNNNNNNNNNNNNNNNNNNNNNNNNNNNNNNNNNNNNNNNNNNNNNNNNNNNNNNNNNNNNNNNNNNNNNNNNNNNNNNNNNNNNNNNNNNNNNNNNNNNNNNNNNNNNNNNNNNNNNNNNNNNNNNNNNNNNNNNNNNNNNNNNNNNNNNNNNNNNNNNNNNNNNNNNNNNNNNNNNNNNNNNNNNNNNNNNNNNNNNNNNNNNNNNNNNNNNNNNNNNNNNNNNNNNNNNNNNNNNNNNNNNNNNNNNNNNNNNNNNNNNNNNNNNNNGCGAGGGAGGCGAGCCCGGGCGGCGGCGGCGGAGAACGGGCCCUCGGGGGCCGGCCUUGGGCUUCCCGGGCCCGGCGGUGCGGCGAGCGGCGAGCGCCACGUGGCAGAACACCACUGGUGCGGAGGCGACGGCGCGGAGUGUCCGCCCCGGGCGGACAAUGUCCGUCGACGGCGCGGUGGAUUUUAGGGUUUGGACGGGGGAGGAUCCGGAUUUUUCGAGAGGGGUUUAUAUAUAGGCAUAGGAGGAGCUAGGAGAGUCCAAAUGAGGUGCGGUUUUCGGCCACGCGAUCGUGAUCGAACGCUCUAGAUGAUGGAGAGGGCUUAGGUGGGUUUUGGGCCAAAUUGGAGGGGUGUUGGGCUGCAACACACAUGAGGCCUUUUCAGUCCCUUGGUUAACGGUUGGAGUAUCAAACGAAGUCCAAAUGAUACGAAACUUGACAGGCGGUCUACCGGUACUAAACCAAGGCCGCUUGGCAAGUCUCGGUCCGAUCCGGAAAUGUUUAAUCCCCACACACGAAAGAAAGCUAGAAAUGACCACCGGAGGAGAACGAAGCGCCGGAAUGCAAAACGGACAACGGGGAAAAUGCUCGAAUGCAUGAGACGAACACGUAUGCAGAUGCAAUGCACAUGAUGACAUGAUAUGAGAUGCAUGACAACGACAACAACACACAGAGACAAAGACCUGAACCCGAGGAAAUAAAUAUUAACUUAACACCGGAAAUGGCAAGAGUUGGAGUACAAAUUGGGAAAGUUACAUCCGGGGUGUUACACCAGCCUAAGAGGGGCGCCAGGCGCACCUUCCUAUGGGAGAGGGGAAGGCGCCCCGUUAGUGGGCGCAGGUCCCGGAGCACGGCCGUCAAACGCCCCAUCCUCCUGAGGUCCUAGGUGGAGCAGCUGCUUCUUCUUCUUGGGGACGGCCUCAGGAGGGUAGGCAGCGCCCUCGUCAUCUGGGUUCUCGACCGCCGCAGCUUGGUAGGCGCGCUCGAGGGAGCACACCACGUCCUUUUCAUCGCAGGCGACCGUGAUAAUGCCUCCGCUCCCUAGCAUCUUGACGACAUUGUAGCCAUGAUAAGUCAUAGCCAUGAACUUGGCCAGGGCCGGAUACCCAAGGAUGACGUUGUACGGGAGGCGAAUGUGGGCAACGUCGAAGUCGAUGAGCUCAGUGCGGUAGUUGUCGCGCUUGCCAAAGGUGACAAGGAGGCGGAUCUGCCCUAUCGGGGUAGUGGAGCCAUCAGUCACCCUCGAGAAAGGCUUGGUAGGCUGAAGCUGGUCAUACGGCACCUGGAGCCAGUCGAACGUCUUGACAGAGAGGCCAUUGAGUCCCGCGCCGCCAUCGACGAGUGUCUUGGUGACCAGGACGUCACUGAUGGUGGGCGAGAAGAGCAUCGGGAGGGCGCCGGCAGUGGCCGCGCACUUGAGCUGAUCAGUAGAGUCGAAGGUGAUGGCGUACUGGGACCACCUGAGCGGACGUGUUUCCUCGAGCUUCGGGUGGGCCGCAUUCACCCCGCGAACGAACUGCUUGAAGAUGCAAUGAGAGGCAAGGGCCUGAGUGCCGCCUAAGAUGCAAGCGAUGGCACAAGGCUCUUGGAAGCCCAUGGCCCCAUCAUCUUGGUGGUGUUCUUCAUCCCUCCUUGGUGGUGGUGGCAGCGGAGGAAGGCCAGUGUUGCCAUGAGGACGGUCCUCACGAGGCUGAUCCCUCCAGGCGCCCUCGCGAAGCUGGCCCUGCCAGCGGUCCUCACGAGGCUGAUCACGCCAGUCUUGGCGGGGUCGCGGUUGUCCCAGCGUCCCCUGCCUUGGCCUCCACCACGGCCAUAGCCUCGGUCGUUGCGCUCGAGGCGGCAACCGAGGUGCCCGUCGCGGAUGGCCUUGAGCUCUUGGCAGUCAUUGUUUGUUGUGGCUGUGCACAUUGUAGAAGAUGUAGAACGGGCGGUUGCCCUUGGAUGACUCUGGGUGGUCGCAGCCACGCUUCAUCUCAGGUUCAGCCGCGAGCACAUCUGGACCCUUGCGCUUCACGUCCUUGGCCUUCUUAUCUUCUAGGUCCUUUGAAAGCUCAAGGAGGGAGAGGCGACCUUCCUCAGCCCUUGCACACCUGGUUGCCAUGUUGAACAUCUCCAGAGCCGAGCACAGGUCCUCGUGUAUGGCAAGCUCUUUCUUCAUCUUGACAUCUAGGACGCCAUCGGUGAACGCCGAAAUGAUGGCCUCAUCUGAUACCUUGGGAAUCUUUAGGCAAAUGUUGGUGAAAUGUUGGAUGCAUUUGUGCAAGGUCUCCCCUGGCUACUGCUUGAUGCACCGUAGGUCACCCGCGGUAGGAGCGCGGUCACGAGUACCCUGGAAGUUGGCGAUGAAAUGCUCGCGCAUCUCAUCCUAGGAGGAGAUCAAUCCUGCGGGGAGGUUCAGGAGCCACGAGCGCGCGCCAUCCUUGAGGGCCAUGGGAAACCAGUUCGCCAUGACCUUCUCAUCGCCGUUGGCCGCCUCGAUGCUAAGCUCGUAGAGCUGUAAGAACUCGGCAGGGCUGGGGGUGCCAUCGUAGCGUGGAGGCAGGUCUGGCUUGAACUUCUCAGGCCAGACGACGCGGCGAAGCUCUGGGGUGAAUACACGGCAGCCUGCCGCACUCACCGGAGCCCGCCGUGGAGGUGGGACCUGAUCUUUGUGCUCCCGCACCAUCAUCUCGGGCGGCACGCGGUCUUGACGUCGCGAUGCUGGGAGCACACACGCCUCUCCUUGGGGCCGCUGCACCACCUAGCAGCUUUCCUCGUCGCUUGUCGGCGCCUUGCACGGUGGGUCACGCCGAGGAGCCUCAUGACUUGGCUCAAGGAUGAAAUCUUGCUUGGGAGGUGGAGGGGGCGCAUCGCGGGCCACGUCGCCCACAAGAGGCGGCGGGGGAGGCAGCGAGCGGGAUGGCGCAGGGGCCUCUCCCGCGGCGCUGACGAGCUCGACGAUGCGGUCCAGCCAGUCCUCGUAGAGGUCAUCGGUCGGGCAAUAGCGCAGAAGCUCGCAUGCCAUGAGCAACGCAGCCUGCGCGUUCACCGGCUCACGACGAGCAUGGGAAGACGAAGCAGCCGCCGGAGUCAGCGAUAGAGUGGCGGUGCAUCCAUCGCGCCGCACAGAAGGCGGCAGUGAUGAAGCCUGGUGCUCGUGGGCCACUGGGCCGGUCGUGGCAUUUGCCGCUGGCGAUGGGGAACGACGGGAGCGCCGUUGCCUGCAGGUGCUGUUUGGGCGACACGGGCGGCGAGGGCAGCCCGACACUCAACACGAACUCGACGAGCGUCAGCCAUGGGGUCGGCGGAAGGGUGACGAAUCAACCGGCGAAAGAGAGGCUCCGACGCACCCUUACCUGGCGCACCAAAUGUCGGAUUUGGGGCUCCGCGGACCCAAGAUAGAUUCAAACUCUGGGGUGCGUGCAAAGAACUCAACCUCCCUAGUCUGCCAACUCGUCGAUCUCACGGCCUAACUCGAUGAACUGAGGAAGAAUAGGACAGGGCAAAUUACCUAGGUUCGGGCCACCUUGCGGUGUAAUACCCUACUCCCGCUUUGUGGUGGAUUAGCCUCGAGGUGGGCUGAGGAUGAACUAGUACAGUGGAAGAACAACCUCAGGAGGUGUGUCCUUGUGCAUGUGAGGGUGUGGAUGGUCUGAAUGAUCCGUCCUCCUCUAUGAUGGUGGCUAUGCUAUACUUAUAGUGGCCUUGGUCCUCUUCCCAAAACAGAGGCGGGAAGAGAUCCCACAACAGCCAAAAUCGAAGCGGGACAACUAGUACAUCUUAUCCUGACGAAAGGUGGUCUACGCCUACAAAGCUUCUGGGCGUGACGUCAUGGUGGGCUCGGCGAUGACCUCCAUCCUGCCGUCCGGACAAUCUUGGUAUUGUAGCAUGGAAAUGAAAACCUUUGGUUGAAUCCUCGGGACUCCGCGCCUGCGCUUGCCUCUUUAGCACCAAAGAGGAAACAUGCUGUAUUGCGCCCGCUGGCGCCCGCCCGGCCUUGGUCGUCAUGGCUUGCGUCAUCUGAGCCUCACGAGGUGAGGGCUCGCGUGGAAAUCUCCACUCCUCAGGAGCCAGCCUAAGGAGGCCACUCCCUCUGGAGGUUUUGGCGUCGUCCACCUCGCGAGGCUUGGCCCCUCGCGAGGGUCUUGUGCUGUUGGUGCUGAAGAUGGGCCGUACCAGGCCGUCGAUGGAGCCACGUCGUGGGCCGCAGGCAGGCAAGUCUGGGUACCCUGGUUCCUAGAACACCGACAAUAGAAGUAGACCCGGGGUCCAUAGUUUUGACGAGAGGCUUCUCUCUUGAAAAUAUCAUCUGUCCCAAUGCUCGGCUGACACAUGGAUCCUCCGGCGAAUCCGAAUUUACACGUGGAAAAUCCCCAUUGGUCCUGGCUGUUAACGGGUUGUCAAAUCCAAACCGAAACCCGAUAGCUUAACGGCGACCUGUUACGGUGGAUGCCACGUGUCGGUUACCCUUGACGAAAACACUUCCAUGACGCAUCAUUUAUUGUCAUGGAAGUGUCCCACUUCCGUGAUGAUAAUUUCGGUACUGUCAUGGAACAGUUCUAUGACAGCACAUGUAUGACUAUCUUGAUUCUGUCAUAAAAUGUCAUGGAUGUACAUGCAUGACAGAAAACGUGACCUACUGUGACAAACACGUAUCAUCACAGAAGUGUUUUUUUUGUAGUUCUAGCUACUAGAUACGGACCUGUAGGUCUGUGGUAAACUACUCACAUAUCAUUGGAGGGCAACAAGGAUGAUGUAGAAGCCCUCCGUGAUGGAUUCCCCUUUGGCAAGUAUUGGAAAAGGCCUCCAGAUGGGAUCGCAGAAGAAUAGAAGCUUGCGGCGGCGGAAAAAAGUGUUUUGGGUGGCUCUCUAUUGGUUUCAGGAUUUAUGGGAAUUUAUGGAGUUGGGGGUCAAUCGGAGCUCUGGGGUCCCACAAGCUCAGGGGGUGCACCUGGUGAGCUUGUGGCUCUCCCGUAGCUCCCCUGGUAUCCUCCAAAGGCUCCUAGGGUCUCUUCUAGUUCAGAAAAAAUCAUCGUAAAGUUUUAUCAUGUUUGGACUUCGUUUGGUAUUGAUUUCUUGAAAAAACAAAACAGGAAAAAACAAGAACUGACUAGGCACCGAGUCAAUAGAUUAGUACCCAAAAAUGACAUAAAGGUGCAUAUAAAUUAUGUAAAAUUGGUAAUAUAAUAAUAUGAAACAAUCAAAAAUUAUAGAUGCGUUGGAGACGUAUCACCACACGACUUGGAAGCUCUCUGAAAACACCAACCAUUUAGGGUUCCCCACAAACCCAAGAGUAACAAUAUUUGUGAGGAUCUCGCAGGGAAUCAACGAACUCAUGUUUUACUUGGAUGGAUUUGUAGACCGGGUGUUCCUCUUUCUCUCUCUAAAGUAUAGAGUAGAUAGAUUGGCCAGAGAGGGAGGAAUCAAAUAUCGUAGCUUUGAAGAAGAAAGGGUGCUUUAUAUAGGCCCCCACGAUAUCUAUUUGUUAUGCACACUAUACAAAUAAGUCGGAUAGUCCGACUUGUCAGACAGCCUAGGCCAAAGUUCGACAUUGUAUUCGACCUAAUACAGAGAGCUGGACAAAGUCGGAGCCUAUGAUGAACAGUCCGACAUGUUAGAUAGUCCCACGCAAGUCGAAUUUUCUGGCCUGGCCCAGGCAACCAAAAUAGCGGCAAAAUAAAUGAACAUUUGGGUGCUCUUCCUCGCAUGUGAUGUAGAUGUAUUUAGCUUGAAUUAUUCAGUGAUUCCCACACUUGAUCCAUGGUGUGUCCCCUCUUAAUAAUACAACAUACUUCACUCAAAACUGAUAAAUCAUCGGUGCAAGUUUGACGUGUUGCCUUCUUUUGUCCUAUUAGCUUUGGGGUUGCCGACCAACAAUAUGUUUCUUUUCCAGAGGUGUGGAAGUUGAAAGCAAGCUUGAAACAUAGUUUUCUAAUCUCUAUUGCCAGUAACACCGAAACCCUUAUUAGGGGUGGAUGUCCUUUUAGGAAGCCAUGUCGCGGUGUGACGGUUGGACAUGAACCGCAAGUUUCCUUUGACCAUGUAGCCUGAUACCAUGGUAGUUGUGUUGCUACCUCUCAAGAGAGAUGCAUCGAUAAGAUGUAGGACCUUUAAGACUUACCACAGUGGGAGUAACUUCAAGAGUAACAUUGGGUCCAAGUCAGCAAAUUUGCAUAUGUGGCAAUGCGUUAAUGAGGAGAGAGAUAAAAUGAGUAACUUAGCUAGUUACUCAUUAUAUGAGUAACAUCUCACUUACAAAGACAAAAUGAGUCUAUAACCUAAUAAAUGAAACUUUGCAUGACACUACACAUAUGUUACUAUUCACUAUGAAGAUAGUAACAUAGUCUAGGAUAGUGUGUAUGUUACUAGUGUAAGUUACUCUCCACUGUGACUAGUCUAAGGGGGAGAAACACAUGGAAGAGGAGAGCUCGGGACCUCUUCGCGCUACAACUGCAAUAGCUGCUUUGUCUAAGCGCCAUCGCUAUCGGCACUCCCUUUGGGAGCCGAUACCACUGGUCUCGCUCGACUCCACCGCCAGUGCCAAACUUCUCCUCUCGGAGUUGCCGACCAUCACUGCUUUUUGCUGUUGGCGUAGGGGUGACGGGGCGAGGGUGAACAACUAAGGGGAAAAGCCGAGCAGUGCAGAUAACUAGGAGUGGAAAAAAGAAGAAGAAUUCAGUGAUGCACAAUUCAAAACUUUUUACAUCCAAACAUAAGCUGGGAAUGGCGCUCGUUUGAUACAAACUACCAAUGUUUUAUACAACCAAACAACAAAAUUGGCCUUGAAACUCGAUACAAUGUCCUGGGAUACCUGGCAUUUGGAACCAAUGCAACCAAGCCCUCCAAUGUCUAUGUCCAAACCGUGCCUUAGGAAAACUCAUGGGUUAGUAAUUUUAGUAUAUCUACCAAGCAUACUGCAUAUUCGAAUUUGAGUACGAAUUGGCAAUCAUAUCUGUAAACUGCCGUAAAUGCAAAAGAGAAAAAGAAAAUGCAAUAGCCAACCAAAAAGAAGAUGCUCCGGCUCCUAGCGCUCCGCGGCCUCCGCUGCCCUAGCGGCUCCGCUCUCCCCUAGCACUCCGCUCCCCUGCAUUGCGCUCCGGCCGGCUGCCACUCCGGCGCCGACGGCCACCAUAGCACCGUCCCCGCUCCGGCGGUGGCGCCCCCUCCUCCUCCUCCUCCAGCCAUGGCCUCUCGAGUCUCCCUCUCGGGCUCGCUCUCAUCCGGAUCUGGGUUCUCUUCCCCAUCCCCCGCUACCCCGCCGGCGCGUUCCCCUUCCCCUCCCCCGCCGCCCCGUCAGGAUCCUCCCCCGUCCUCCUCGGCAAGGCCGUGCCCCCUCCUCCGCUCCAUCAUGGUGCCACCCGUCCUGGGCACGGCCUUUGGCCCCAUCGUCCAGGGUGGGGCGGCUGGCCCGCCCCGUCCCCCUGCGUCGCGGCCCGUGGAGGAGCCAUGGCAUACCAAGGUGAGCCGACGCCCGCGCGCGCCUCCUAGGCGGACCUGGCGGCAAAGGCAUCACCUUCCGGCCGGACGGGCCCGUGCGCUACCGACCCCUCGUCCUCAUCCUUCCUCGCGGCUUCCGGCGGAGCUCCAUGGGUGCUGCUACAACUGUGGGAGCGAUGGUCACAUCUUGGUGGAUUGCCCCAACCCUCCCUUCUGCGUGCGCUGUCGUGGGGUCGGCCACAUCUCACGUGGAUGCACCAGGCCGCGUAGCCCCUCCCCGGUCGACCAGCCUGCGCUGCCGCCUACCCUACGGCGUCGCGUGGGGGAGGCGGAUCCCUCGUCGCCGCGGCGCUCGGACGCCUCGCUGUCUCUGCCGCCGCCGCCUGGCCCCCUCCUCCGGGCACUGUUCGGCUCUGGUCCGAUGUGGUGCGUGAGCCUUUUCGGGGUGCAGUGUCGGGCCUGGGUGCUGCUUCAUGGUCGGCCGCUCCUGGGGCUGGAGGGUCGGAGUUCUCGGUGCCUUUCGACCAGCGGGCCCCUGGCAUUCCGAUGGCGGUGGAUGAGCGCGACGAUCUGGUGGAGGCCUGCUUCCUUGAGGCGGCCGAAGACACCCGGCAGAUGGAGGCUGAGCUCGCCCGUGCGGUCCUGGUCACGGUGACUGGCCACCGGCCUACGGUGGAUUUGGAGUCGGCGGCGGAGGCCCUGCACGCUGAGUUUGACCUGGGUCCGACGGACAUGUCCAUCCGGGCCUUCUUCCCCGAUGACUUCCUUGUGCUCUACAGGGAAGGGGCGACCCGGGAUAGGAUGGUACGUGCUGGCCAUGCUAGUUCUUCGUGGUUCGAGCUCAACUUGCGGCCGUGGAAUAGGCAGGCGCAGGCCACGGCGGCACCGUUGCCUUUUCUGGUGCCGAUCGCCCUGCGCGGAGUUCCGGCGCACGCGUGGAACCAAAGGACGGUGACUGUGAUCUUGCGCGGCCUUGGGUAUGUCGUGAGGGUGGAUGACAGCACUGCUCGGCGCCUAGACAUGACGGAUUUCCGAGUUUGGUUGCGUACUUACCGGCCUCGCCGGAUCCCGCGCCGUCGGCUACUCUUCAUCGACGAGCCAAGGCAGAACCUUUGGGCGGGAGAUGUUGGUCAGCAGGUGGUCUCUGGUCAGUGUACUAACACGCUGUGGUAUCCGAUCGAUAUCUCAGUCCUCGCUAAGCCGGUGCUGGUUGACGAUGGCGCUGCGGGCGUUCGCCUCCCUCCACCGCCACCGCCAUCGCCAUCGCCCUCUUCCGGCAGUGAUGAUGCGCCGCCCGAUGGAGGCGCGAGCAGACCCGCGAGGGGCGUUGGCGGCGUCGGCAAUGCUUCGGUUAGCUCUGUUGGGUCGUCGACGGCGGCGCCGCCACCGGCCGGGUGGCAGGUUCGUGUCGCCCCGGGUUCGGUCGCCAGGCCGGUCAGCACCAGCCGCGUGGCUGCCGUCACGGGGAUUCGCUUGGGUCAGGGUGUGGGGACGGAGGAUUCAGCUUUUCGGCAGCCAAUCAUCGAGCAGUCCUGAUCGCCCGUUGGCCAUGCAGAGCAGGUAGGGCCCGUUGCGAUCAUGAUUCGAACUGAUCAGACGGAGAUACAACCUGUCUCCCCCGCCUUGGUUCAACUGAUGAGGUGGGCGCAUGCCGACAAUUCUGAUGGUGGGCAUGCGAGGGUCCGGCCUAGGGAACUAGAGAAUGCUGGGAGUGGUCAAGACCUAAACUCCAUUCUGAUUGGCUCCUGCCAAAUCUCCUUUUUUGGACCAAGCGGUGUGGACAGGGACAGCGGCAGCCUUGCAACGGCAUCCUGGGAAGAGCUGGAAUCUUUGCCCCACGAACCAGGGGACAGCACAUGCAGGAUUGGAUGGGAUAAACAGGUGGAGGCCUUGCAGACCUUCCAGGUGUGCCUAUCGGAGAGCAGUUGCACCCAUGCAACAUGCAACGUAUGCAGUGUACGUAGUGCGCAGCUGGAUCCUGAAGUUGCGCCCGCGCCAGCCCUUGAUUCUGGGGUGGAACUGAUGCCGGACUCAGCGACCUGCGGUGGUAUGGACGCACUGCAACCUGGUGACAUAGAGAGGAUGCGGGCUGACAUGUGUGUUUCCCUUUCCCCGCUGUUGCCAUUACCAUCAAGUCGGCCUGUCGCGGUGCAAGCGCGCAACCAAAGAAAGAAGAGGAUAGUGGAGGGGACACCAAGGAGGAGUGCGAGACUAGCCAAACACGGUGCAUCAAAGCAACAGCAAGUUCUCAUCCGCAAAUUGUGUUUGGCGCAUGAAGGUGAAGUGAUUUCGGAGGAUGCCCUAAAGAUGUAUGUGGAGUUGUUCUCUCGGCCGCUUUCAGAUGCCCACAUUGCCGCAAUCCUGGUGCUAUUUGGUUGGGAGUCGCCGCCGGUGCCCCUAGAGGAGGCAGCAGUGUGCUGAGGACCGCGUGGGUGGUUUGGUAGGCCUUUAUCAUGAAUACUCAACAGUUGAGAAUGUUAGUGUGGAACGUUCGUGGGCUAAACGCUUCGGCCCGGCGAAACACUGUCUUCCAGGUGGUCACGGCGGCUAGCCCGACUAUCGUGUGUCUUCAAGAGACUAAACUUCAUGAUGUAUCCGUGAAUGUUGUAAGACAAUGCCUCGGGGCUAAAUUUGAAAACUUUUUCUACCUUCCUGCGUUAGGUACGCGUGGUGGGAUCUUGGUGGCAUGGGUUGCCACUUCGGUUCAACUCUCUAACCCGCACCGUACCAACCAUACCUUAACGGCUCUGGCUAAGUGUCCCGAUGAUGAGCAACCAUGGUGGCUCACUUGUGUCUAUGGCCCGCACGAGGAGUCCGACAAGGUGGAAUUCCUCCAAGAUUUGGUGGAUAUUAGAGACUUGCACGCGGGGCCUUGGCUUGUGGCCGGGGACUUCAAUCUCAUUGCCAACGAGGAGGACAAGAACAAUGCCUUGAUCAAUCGCCGGAUGUUGGGAAGGUUUCGCUCCAAGCUCAACUCCCUCGAGCUAAAGGAGAUCUACCUGAAUGGGAGAAGAUACACGUGGUCGAACGAAAGGAGAAUUGCCACUUUGGAGAAAAUCGACCAUGUUUUCGUGUCGAAUGAAGGGAUCUGGCGUACCCAACCUGUUUUCUUUCAGCCCUGGGUACGGCUAUUUCCGACCACUGCCCGUUGGUGCUGGACGUGAAUACUUGCAUCAGUUCGAAAAGCCAGUUCAAAUUUGAAUCAUUCUGGACCAGAGCGGAAGGGUUCAUGGAUGUAGUUAAACUUGCCUGGACCUCAACUCCGGUGGCUUCUAACGAUUAUCUCACGCUUCAAAACAAACUAAAAGCUACUACAGUGAGCCUCCAAAGGUGGAGUGCCAGGUGGAUUGGGAACGUGAAACUACAAAUCGCUAUUGCUCUUGAGGUUAUUAAGCAGUUGGACACAGCUAUGGAAAUGAGAACCCUCUCUGAUGUCGAGCAGGAACUAAGAUUGUCCCUGAAGAAAAAGCUACUCGGUCUGAGCUCCUUGGAGAGGACUAUUGCGAGGCAAAGGUCUCGGUUACUUCAUCUGCGUGAGGGAGAUGGCAAUACUACGCUCUUUCACCAACAGGCUAGCCACUGGCAGCGGAAGAACACCUUGCGUGUGGUGAAGCACAACGGCAACCUCUAUACCGGGCAAGAGGAAGUAGCGUCGGCAGUUGAUGCAUAUUUUGGCGCAGCAUUUGGCACCUCGGAAGCUAGAAACUAUACCAUCAACCUAGGUAUCCUUGAGCUCCCACGGCAUGACCUAUCACAUCUCGAGCAGCCGUUUACCGCAGAGGAAGUGGAGAAGGUAAUCAAGAGCAUGCCACUGGACAAGGCCCCGGGGCCGGACGGGUUUACUAGCAGGUUCUACGCCGGGUGUUGGAGCAUUAUAAAAGAAGAUUUCAUGAAAGCAAUGGAGUGUUUCUACAAGGGCGACAUGAGGGGUUUAGCCGCCAUCAACAAAGCCCUUGUUUCCCUCUUGCCGAAGAAGGACGGAGCACUGGAAGUGCGUGAUUUUCGGCCGAUAAGCCUUGUGCACGGGGCUAUCAAGAUUUUUGAGAAAGUGCUCGCCUGUCGUUUGGUCGAGGAGCUACCCAUGCUAGUUGGCAACCACCAAGGCGCGUUUGUGAUGUUGGGGAACGUUGCAGAAAACAAAAAUUUUCCUACGGUUUCACCAAGAUCCAUCUAGGAGUUCAUCUAGCAACGAGUGAUUAGAUGCAUCUACGUACCUUGUAGAUCGCGAGCGGAAGCGUUCAAAGAACGGGGAUGAGGGAGUCGUACUCGACGUGAUUCGAAUCACCGAAGAUCCUAGCACCGAACGGACGACACCUCCGCGUUCAACACACGUACGGAACAGCCACGUCUCCUCCUUCUUGAUCCAGCAAGGGGGAGGAGAGGUUGAGGGAGAUGGCUCCAGCAGCAGCACGACGGCGUGGUGGUGAUGGAGCUGCAGUACUCCGGCAGGGCUUCGCCUAGCACUAUGGAGGAGGAGAGGUGUUGGAGAGGGAGAGGGAGGCACCAAAGAUCAAGGUAAGAAGUCCUCCAUCUCCCCCACUAUAUAUAGGAGGGCCAAGGGGGGGGGGGGGCGCCAGCCCUAGGAGAUCUAAUCUCCUAGGGGGGUGCGGCCAAGGGGAGGAAUCCCUCCUCCCCAAGGCACCUAGGAGGUGCCUUCCCCUCCUAGGACUCUUCCCUCCUUGAAACCCUAGGCGCAUGGGCCUCUUGGGGCUGGUGCCCUUGGCCCAUGUAGGCCAAGGCGCACCCCCUACAGCCCAUGUGGCCCCCCGGGACAGGUGGCCCCACCCGAUGGACCCCCGGGACCCUUCCGGUGGUCCCGGUACAAUACCGGUGACCCCGAAACUUGUCCCGAUGCCCGAAAUAGCACUUCCUAUAUAUAAUUCUUUACCUCCGGACCAUUCCGGAACUCCUCGUGACGUCCGGGAUCUCAUCCGGGACUCCGAACAACAUUCGGGUUACUGCAUAUACAUAUCCCUACAACCCUAGCGUCACCGAACCUUAAGUGUGUAGACCCUACGGGUUCGGGAGACAUGUAGACAUGACCGAGACGACUCUCCGGUCAAUAACCAACAUCGGGAUCUGGAUACCCAUGUUGGCUCCCACAUGCUCCUCGAUGAUCUCAUCGGAUGAACCACUAUGUCGAGGAUUCAAGCAACCCUGUAUACAAUUCCCUUUGUCAAUCGGUAUGUUACUUGCCUGAGAUUCGAUCGUCGGUAUCCCAAUACCUCGUUCAAUCUCGUUACCGGCAAGUCACUUUACUCGUACCGUAAUGCAUGAUCCCGUGACCAGACACUUGGUCACUUUGAGCUCAUUUUGGUGAUGCAUUACCGAGUGGGCCCAGUGAUACCUCUCCGUCAUACGGAGUGACAAAUCCCAGUCUUGAUCCGUGUCAACCCAACAGACACUUUCGGAGACACCCGUAGUAUACCUUUAUAGUCACCCAGUUACGUUGUGACGUUUGGCACACCCAAAGCACUCCUACGGUAUCCGGGAGUUACACGAUCUCAUGGUCUAAGGAAAAGAUACUUGACAUUGGAAAACUCUAGCAAACGAACUAUACGACCUUGUGCUAUGUUUAGGAUUGGGUCUUGUCCAUCACAUCAUUCUCCUAAUGAUGUGAUCUCGUUAUCAAUGACAUCCAAUGUCCAUAGUCAGGAAACCAUGACUAUCUGUUGAUCAACGAGCUAGUCAACUAGAGGCUUACUAGGGACAUGUUGGUGUCUAUUAUUCACACAUGCAUUACGAUUUCCGGAUAACACAAUUAUAGCAUGAGUAAAGACAAUUAUCAUGAACAAGGAAAUAUAAUAAUAAUGCUUUUAUUAUUGCCUCUAGGGCAUAUUUCCAACAGUCUCCCACUUGCACUAGAGUCAAUAAUCUAGUUACAUUGUGAUGAAUCGAACACCCAUGGAAUUCUGGUGUUGAUCAUGUUUUGCUCUAGGGAGAGGUUUAGUCAACGGAUCUGCUACAUUCAGGUCCGUGUGCACUUUACAAAUAUCUAUGUCUCCAUCUUGAACAUUUUCACGAAUGGAGUUGAAGCGACGCUUGAUGUGCCUUGUCUUCUUGUGAAACCUGGGCCCCUUGGCAAGAGCAAUAGCUCCAGUGUUGUCACAGAAGAGCUUGAUCGGCCCCGACGCAUUAGGUAUGACUCCUAGGUCGGUGAUGAACUCCUUCACCCAAAUUGCUUCAUGCGCUGCCUCCGAGGCUGCCAUGUACUCCGCUUCACAUGUAGAUCCCGCCACGACGCUCUGCUUGCAACUGCACCAGCUUACUGCCCCACCAUUCAAAAUAUACACGUAUCCGGUUUGUGACUUAGAGUCAUCCAGAUCUGUGUCGAAGCUAGCGUCGACGUAACCCUUUACGAUGAGCUCUUCGUCACCUCCAUAGAUGAGAAACAUUUCCUUAGUCCUUUUCAGGUACUUCAGGAUAUUCUUGACCGCUGUCCAGUGUUCCUUGCCGGGAUUACUUUGGUACCUUCCUACCAAACUUACGGCAAGGUUUACAUCAGGUCUGGUACACAGCAUGGCAUACAUAAUAGAACCUAUGGCUGAGGCAUAGGGGAUGACACUCAUCUCUUCUAUAUCUUCUGUCGUGGUCGGACAUUGAGCUGAGCUCAAUUUCACACCUUGCAACACAGGCAAGAACCCCUUCUUAGACUGAUCCAUAUUGAACUUCUUCAAUAUCUUAUCAAGGUAUGUGCUUUGUGAAAGACCUAUGAGGCGUCUUGAUCCAUCUCUAUAGAUCUUGAUGCCUAAUAUAUAUGCAGCUUCUCCAAGGUCCUUCAUUGAAAAACUCUUAUUCAAGUAGGCCUUAAUGCUAUCCAAGAGUUCUAUAUCAUUUCCCAUCAAAAGUAUGUCAUCUACAUAUAAUAUGAGAAAUGCUACAGAGCUCCCACUCAUUUCCCAUCAAAAAUAUGUUCCAACUCCGAGAUGCUUGCACCAGCCCAUAAAUCGAGCGUUGGAGCUUGCACACCUUGUCAGCAUUCUUAGGAUCGACAAAACCUUCCGACUGCAUCAUAUACAAUUCUUCCUUAAGGAAACCAUUAAGGAAUGUCAUUUUGAUGUCCAUCUGCCAUAUUUCAUAAUCAUAGAAUGCGGCAAUCGCUAACAUGAUUCGGACGGACUUCAGCUUCGCUACCGGUGAGAAAGUCUCAUCGUAGUCAACCCCUUGAACUUGUCGAUAACCCUUAGCGACAAGCCGAGCUUUAUAGAUGGUCACAUUACCAUCCGCAUUUGUCUUCUUCUUAAAGAUCCAUUUAUUUUCUAUGGCUCGCCGCUCAACGGGCAAGUCAGUCAAAGUCCAUACUUCGUUUUCAUACAUGGAUCCUAUCUCGGAUUUCAUGGCUUCUAGCCAUUUGUCGAAAUCCGGGCCCGCCAUCGCUUCUUCAUAGUUCGAAGGUUCACCGUUGUCUAACAACAUGAUUUCCAAGACAGGGUUGUCGUACCACUCUGGUGCGGAACGUGUCCUUGUGGACCUUCGAAUUUCAGUAGGAGCUUGAUCAGAAGUAUCUUGAUCAUCAUCAUUAACUUCCUCUCUAGUCGGUGCAGGCACCUCAGGAACAUUUUCUUGAGCUGCGCCAAUUUCCGGUUCAAGAGGUAAUACUUCAUCAAGUUCUACUUUCCUCCCACUUACUUCUUUCGAGAGAAACUCUUUCUCUAGAAAGGACCCAUUCUUGGCAACAAAGAUCUUGCCUUCGGAUCUGAGGUAGAAGGUAUACCCAAUAGUUUCUUUAGGGUAUCCUAUGAAGACGCAUUUUUCUGAUUUGGGUUCGAGCUUUUCAGGUUGAAGUUUCUUGACAUAAGCAUCGCAUCCCCAAACUUUUAGAAACGACAGCUUAGGUUUCUUCCCAAACCAUAAUUCAAACGGUGUCGUCUCAACGGAUUUCGACGGUGCCCUAUUUAAAGUGAAUGCGGUAGUCUCUAAAGCAUAGCCCCAAAAAGAUAGCGGUAAAUCGGUAAGAGACAUCAUAGAUCGCACCAUAUCUAAUAGAGUGCGAUUACGACGUUUGGACACACCAUUACGCUGAGGUGUUCCAGGCGGCGUGAGUUGUGAAACUAUUACACAUUUUCUUAAGUGUGUGCCAAACUCGUGACUCAAGUAUUCUCCUCCACGAUCUGAUCGUAGGAACUUGAUUUUCCUGUCACGUUGAUUCUCAACCUCACUCUGAAAUUCUUUGAACUUUUCAAAGGUCUCAGACUUGUGUUUCAUUAAGUAGACAUACCCAUAUCUACUCAAGUCAUCAGUGAGGGUGAGAACAUAACGAUAGCCACCGCGAGCCUCAACACUCAUUGGACCGCACACAUCAGUAUGUAUGAUUUCCAAUAAGUUGGUUGCUCGCUCCAUUGUUCCUGGGAACGGAGUCUUGGUCAUUUUACCCAUGAGGCAUGGUUUGCACGUGUCAAAUGAUUCAUAAUCAAGAGACUCUAAAAGUCCAUCAGCAUGGAGCUUCUUCAUGCGUUUGACACCUAUGUGACCAAGGCGGCAGUGCCACAAGUAUGUGGGACUAUCAUUAUCAACCUUACAUCUUUUGGUACUCACACUAUGAAUAUGUGUAGCAUUACGCUCGAGAUUCAUUAAGAAUAAACCAUUUACCAUUGGAGCAUGACCAUAAAACAUAUCUCUCAUAUAAAUAGAACAACCAUUAUUCUCGGAUUUAAAUGAGUAGCCAUCUCAAAUUAAACGAGAUCCUGAUACAAUGUUCAUGCUCAAACUUGGCACUAAAUAACAAUUAUUGAGGUUUAAAACUAAUCCCGUAGGUAAAUGAAGAGGCAGCGUGCCGACGUUGAUCACAUCGACCUUGGAACCAUUCCCGACGUGCAUCGUCACCUCGUCCUUCGUCAGUCUCCGUUUAUUCCACAGCUCCUGUUUUGAGUUACAAAUGUGAGCAACCGCACCGGUAUCAAAUACCCAGGAGCUACUACGAGUACUGGUAAGGUACACAUCAAUUACAUGUAUAUCACAUAUACCUUUCGUUUUGCCGGCCUUCUUGUCCGCUAAGUAUUUGGGGCAGUUCCGCUUCUAGUGACCACCUUCCUUGCAAUAAAAGCACUCAGUCUCGGGCUUGGGUCCAUUCUUUGGCUUCUUCCCAGCAGCUUGCUUGCCGGGCGCGGCAACUCCCUUGCCGUCUUUCUUGAAGGUUUUCUUACCCUUGCCUUUCUUGAACUUAGUGGUUUUAUUCACCAUCAACACUUGAUGUUCCCUUUUGACUUCUACCUCUGCUGAUUUCAGCAUUGCAAAUACUUCAGGAAUGGUCUUUUCCAUCCCCUGCAUAUUGAAGUUCAUCACAAAGCUCUUGUAGCUCGGUGGAAGCGACUGGAGGAUUCUGUCAAUGACCGCGUCAUCCGGGAGAUUAACUCCCAGCUGAGUCAAGCGGUUAUGCAACCCAGACAUAGUGAGUAUGUGCUCACUGAUAGAACUGUUUUCCUCCAUCUUACAGCUGAAGAACUUGUCGGAGACUUGAUAUCUCUCGACCCGGGCAUGAGCUUGAAAAACCAUUUUCAGCUCUUCGAACAUCUCAUAUGCUCCAUGUCUCUCAAAAUGCUUUUGGAGCCCCGGCUCUAAGCUGUAAAGCAUGCCGCACUGAACGAGGGAGUAGUCAUCGGUACGUGCCUGCCAAGCGUUCAUAACGUCUUGUUUUGCAGGGAGAACAGGUGCAUCACCUAGCGGUGCUUGUAGGACAUAAUCUUUCUUGGCAGCUAUGAGGAUGAUCCUCAGGUUCCGGACCCAGUCCGUGUAGUUGCUGCCAUCGUCUUUCAGCUUGGUUUUCUCUAGGAACGCGUUGAAGUUGAGGACUACGUUGGCCAUUUGAUCUACAAGACAUAUUGUAAAGAUUUUAGACUAAGUUCAUGAUAAUUAAGUUCAUCUAAUCAAAUUAUUCAAUGAACUCCCACUUAGAUAGACAUCCCUCCUGUCAUCUAAGUAUAACAUGAUCCGAGUUAACUAGGUCGUGUCCGAUCAUCACGUGAGACGGACUAGUCAACGUCGGUGAACAUCUUCAUGUUGAUCGUAUCUUCUAUACGACUCAUGCUCGACCUUUCGGUCUUCUGUGUUCCGAGGCCAUGUCUGUACACAUGCUAGGCUCGUCAAGUCAACCUAAGCGUUUGCAUGUGUAAAUCUGUCUUACACCCGUUGUAUGUGAACGUUAGAAUCUAUCACACCCGAUCAUCACGUGGUGCUUCGAAACAACGAACUGUCGCAACGGUGCACAGUUAGGGGGGAACACUUUCUUGAAAUUAUUAUGAGGGAUCAUCUUAUUUACUACCGUCGUUCUAAGUAAACAAGAUGCAAAAACAUGAUAAACAUCACAUGCAAUCAAAUAAUAAUAGUGACAUGAUAUGGCCAAUAUCACAUAGCUCCUUUGAUCUCCAUCUUGGGGCUCCAUGAUCAUCUUGUCACCGGCAUGACACCAUGAUCUCCAUCAUCAUGAUCUCCAUCAUCGUGUCUCCAUGAAGUUGCUCGCCAACUAUUACUUCUACUACUAUGGCUAACGCGUUUAGCAAUAAAGUAAAGUAAUUUACAUGGCGUUUCUCAAUGACACGCAGGUCAUACAAAAAAUAUAGACAACUCCUAUGGCUCCUGCCGGUUGUCAUACUCAUCGACAUGCAAGUCGUGAUUCCUAUUACAAUAGCAUGAACAUCUCAUACAUUACAUAUAGACAUUCAUCAUUCAUCACAACUUUGGCCAUAUCAUAUCACAAAGCACUUGCUGCAAAAACAAGUUAGACGUCCUCUAAUUGUUGUUGCAAGUUUUACGUGGCUGAAGUAGGGUUCUAGCAAGAACGUUUUCUUACCUACGUGAAAGCCACAACGUGAUUUGUCAACUUCUAUUUACCCUUCAUAAGGACCCUUUUCAUCGAAUCCGCUCCAACUAAAGUGGGAGAGACAGACACCCGCCAGCCACCUUAUGCAACUUGUGCAUGUUAGUCGGUGGAACCGGUCUCACGUGAGCGUACGUGUAAGGUUGGUCCGGGCUGCUUCAUCCCACAAUACCGUUGAAGCAAGAUAAGACUAGUAGCGGCAAGAAAGUUGACAACAUCAACGCCCACAACAAAUUGUGUUCUACUCGUGCAAGAGAACUACGCAUAGACCUAGCUCAUGAUGCCACUGUUGGGGAAUAUUGUAGAAAACAAAAAUUUUCCUACGGUUUCACCAAGAUCCAUCUAGGAGUUCAUCUAGCAACGAGUGAUUAGAUGCAUCUACGUACCUUGUAGAUCGCGAGCGGAAGCGUUCAAAGAACGGGGAUGAGGGAGUCGUACUCGACGUGAUUCGAAUCACCAAAGAUCCUAGCACCGAACGGACGGCACCUCCGCGUUCAACACACGUACGGAACAACCACGUCUCCUCCUUCUUGAUCCAGCAAGGGGGGAGGAGAGGUUGAGGGAGAUGGCUCCAGCAGCAGCACGACGGCGUGGUGGUGAUGGAGCUGCAGUACUCCGGCAGGGCUUCGCCAAGCACUAUGGAGGAGGAGGUGUUGGAGAGGGAGAGGGAGGCACCAAAGAUCAAGGUAAGAAGUCCUCCAUCUCCCCCACUAUAUAUAGGAGGGCCAAGGGGGGGGGGCGCCGGCCCUAGGAGAUCUAAUCUCCUAGGGGGGUGCGGCCAAGGGGAGGAAUCCCUCCUCCCCAAGGCACCUAGGAGGUGCCUUCCCCUCCUAGGACUCUUCCCUCCUUGAAACCCUAGGCGCAUGGGCCUCUUGGGGCUGGUGCCCUUGGCCCAUGUAGGCCAAGGCGCACCCCCUACAGCCCAUGUGGCCCCCCGGGACAGGUGGCCCCACCCGGUGGACCCCCGGGACCCUUCCAGUGGUCCUGGUACAAUACCGGUGACCCCGAAACUUGUCCCGAUGCCCGAAAUAGCACUUCCUAUAUAUAAUUCUUUACCUCCGGACCAUUCCGGAACUACUCGUGACGUCCGGGAUCUCAUCCGGGACUCCGAACAACAUUCGGGUUACUGCAUAUACAUAUCCCUACAACCCUAGCGUCACCGAACCUUAAGUGUGUAGACCCUACGGGUUCGGGAGACAUGUAGACAUGACCGAGACGACUCUCCGGUCAAUAACCAACAGCGGGAUCUGGAUACCCAUGUUGGCUCCCACAUGCUCCUCGAUGAUCUCAUCGGAUGAACCACUAUGUCGAGGAUUCAAGCAACCCUGUAUACAAUUCCCUUUGUCAAUCGGUAUGUUACUUGCCCGAGAUUCGAUUGUCGGUAUCCUAAUACCUCGUUCAAUCUCGUUACCGGCAAGUCACUUUACUCGUACCGUAAUGCAUGAUCCCGUGACCAGACACUUGGUCACUUUGAGCUCAUUUUGAUGAUGCAUUACCGAGUGGGCCCAGUGAUACCUCUCCGUCAUACGGAGUGACAAAUCCCAGUCUUGAUCCGUGUCAACCCAACAGACACUUUCGGAGACACCCGUAGUAUACCUUUAUAGUCACCCAGUUACGUUGUGACGUUUGGCACACCCAAAGCACUCCUACGGUAUUCGGGAGUUACACGAUCUCAUGGUCUAAGGAAAAGAUACUUGACAUUGGAAAACUCUAGCAAACGAACUAUACGACCUUGUGCCAUGUUUAGGAUUGGGUCUUGUCCAUCACAUCAUUCUCCUAAUGAUGUGAUCUCGUUAUCAAUGACAUCCAAUGUCCAUAGUCAGGAAACCAUGACUAUCUGUUGAUCAACGAGCUAGUCAACUAGAGGCUUACUAGGGACAUGUUGGUGUCUAUUAUUCACACAUGCAUUACGAUUUCCGGAUAACACAAUUAUAGCAUGAAUAAAGACAAUUAUCAUGAACAAGGAAAUAUAAUAAUAAUGAUUUUAUUAUUGCCUCUAGGGCAUAUUUCCAACAUGUGAAAGGAAGGUCUUUGCAUGACAACUUCAUUCUUGUGCAAAGCAUGGCGCGGAGACUGCACGCUCUCAAGAGCUCUUCUAUUCUGCUCAAGCUCGGCAUCUCUAAAGCGUUUGACUCGGUAAAGUGGCCCUUCCUUCUCGAGGUGUUGGAACAAAUGGGAUUUGGGCCGAGAUGGAGAGCAUGGAUUUGUGGGAUCCUUGCAACUUCAACAACUAAGAUCAUGGUCAAUGGCGACCCAGGCAACACGAUCUACAAUUGUAAAGGAUUGCAGCAGGGUGACCCCAUCUCACCGAUGCUUUUCAUCCUAAUUAUGGAGCCCCUGCAAAAGAUGUUUGAGCUGGCUAUGAGCCGAGGUGUCCUUACACCUCUUGCGCGAGUAGGGAUGAGGAAGCGCCUAUCCAUCUUCGCGGAUGAUGUGGUUCUGUUCAUCAAACCCAGUCCACGGGAUCUCCGUGUUUGCAAAUUGUUGUUCGAGAUGUUCGGCGAGGCAGCUGGGCUCAGGAUUAACUUGCACAAGUCUGCGGCCCUACCUAUCAGGUGCACUGACGAGGAGGUAUCCAUUGCAUGCACCGAGCUUGACUGCCCGUUGGGAGUGUUCCCUAUCAAAUAUCUUGGGCUACCGCUUUCGCUAAGGAAGAUAUCUGCAGCGCAGCUGCAAUACUUGGUGGAUCAUAUGGCAAGCAAGCUGCCAAAAUGGAAGGCAUCUCUAAUGCCAAAGAGUGGCCGGCUAACUUUGGUUCAGUCCGUGUUAUGUGCCAUGCCCAUUCACGCUAUGAUGGCGCUAGACCUCCCGAUGAAAACUAUUGCUGCCAUGAACAAAAUCUGCAGAGGGUUCUUGUGGUGUAGGCGAGCGGAAGCUAAUGGAGGCAACUGUGCCGUUGCUUGGGACAUGGUUUGCUCCCAAGUGGGCUGGUGGACUGGGGCUGCCGAAUCUACGGUGGAUGAACGUGGCCAUGCAGGCUCGUUGGCCAUGGCUACAGAGAACGGAUGAGACGAGACCAUGGAGCGAAUUUCGAAUACCGGUCGCAGAGGAGGCAAGGCUUCUAUGCCAGGCAGCUAUGAGGAGUACCGCGUAGUCAGGCCACACAACGCUCUUUUGGGAGGAUCGGUGGUUGGAUGGCAGGAGAGUGCAGGAGGUGGCACCGCGUGUGUACGACUCGGUCCCGCCGCGAAUACGAAAGACGAGGCUGGUUUGCUCGGCCGUGGAGAGCGGAUCUUGGGCGAUAGACUUGACCCCAAACUUGGGCGUCAAUACUUUGCAUGAAUUCCUCACACUUUGGGAGAUGGUUAGCACUUGGGAACCAGCUCAAGACGAUGUGCCUGACGUGAUUAAGUGGUCGUGGGAGGAAAACGGCCGAUUCUCGGUGAAAUCAGCGUAUGCGGCAGCAUUCUGGGGAAGAGAAGUAAUCCCAACGGCAGACUUGACAUGGAAGUCAUGCGCUCCCUUGCAAUGUAGGUUCUUUAUUUGGUUGGCCAUGAAAGACCGAUGCUGGACCUCGGAUCGUCUUGCACGACGAGGCCUGCCACAUCAAGCCGCAUGCCCUUUCUGCGAUCAGGAGGACGAAACGAUCAACCAUCUCAUGCUCACAUGUGUGUUCACUAGAACAAUCUGGGCGGCCAUUUGUGCAGCGCUGGGCUCUCCGGCUUGGAUUCCAACUACACAGGAUUCGCUGGUACAAUGGGCCAUUGAUAAGCGCGGAUCGGAUGAGGUGAGUACAAAGGAUCUACAAACCAUCUUCGCUCUUGUGUGGUGGGAGUUGUGGAAGCAUCGGAAUGCAAUAGUGUUUGACGGUGCGAGACCGUCGGUCUUCCAGUUGCUAAACAAGAUUCGUAGCGAGGGCUUAGUUUGGAUAUCGGCUGGGCUACUAAAAGGGCAUGUAACUCCCUUCUUCCGUAGGGUAGAGAGGUGGGUGAGUGGUGAAGACUAGUUUUGUACCGGUAACAAUGUAAACUUUGGUGGAGGCACUCUUUGCCUUUUCUUCUUUAAUAUAUGAUAUGCACACCCGUGCAUAUUCGAGAAAAAAAAUGUGAAUUCCGAAAAAACACGAGACACAAAGUGACUAAUAUCCACAUCAUAUUUUGUCUGAUAAAGCAUUUUGUUUUUUGCAGAAUUUUUCCAACAAAAUUUGGAUUUUUUUUACAAAAUCCACACAACUUAUUUUACAAACUAGCAAGAACAUCAAGAUGCAUUUAUUUUAUAAAACAUCAGUUGUGAUUGAUCCAUGCGGGAGUAAUCCCAUGUGUAAAAACCAACGACAUCGUCAGGUUUUUAUAACUCAGCACGUACACCAUUGAUGCAGAUCCUCUCCGACACCGACCUCCGCAAGCACGUUGACGGUGCCGUGCGUGUCCCAACACCUCAGACCGAGCGGAGUGGGGGAGACGAGAAAGAGGAGAGAUAGGUGAGGAGGAGUGAGACGUGGUGGUGGUUGGUGGUCGGACUGAGCGGAGGCAUGGGGAUGGACGACGCCGGCAGCGGCCACCAUGCCAGAUUGUUCGAGAGGCUUCUUUUUUUAAUUGCUCAACAAUGAGGUCGUGGGAGAUAAGAAUGAACGAGAGAAGACCUUAUCUGUAAAUAUGAAGAGAGGUGCAGAUAUCUUUUUGUAAAAUUAUUAUAGUUACUUUUUAUCCAUUAAAUAUAGAUCGAACGGUUUAUAUUGCAGGAUGGCAAGCACAACAUCAUCAUCAACUCGUUUUUUUAUAAGAGUAGAGACUUUGUACAAGAAGAAAAUAAGAGAGGCAAAACUUCAGAAGAGCACAUGGGCUGCUGCUAGUGGGCCCACCUCAUGUAUGUGCCAGCCAGGAGACAAACCACAACCUUCUCCUAGGAUGGGACCCACAGUGCAGAGACAGAGAGCAGCAGCACACGUGCCCGCCCGCUCGCUCCAUCGUCCGGGACGGACAUUGGGCGAAACGGAUCAAACGGGUCGUCUCCUCCCCACGCCACGAACAACAAACCACGCGACGCAAGCACGAACCCAACGUCCCAGCCAGCAGCCGAGGAGGAGUCCCAUCGUACGCUGCACCACGCCUCCAGCACAGACUCCACCCCGAUCCGAUGGCGAUCAAAUACACUACAUACGACCUCUCUCUACCCUACCAAGACCAAGACCAAGACCAGAACCAAAACAAAAAGCAGCAGCAUCCAUCCGAUCGGGGCAGCCGGGAAACACAGAAGAAAGAAAGAAAUUCCCCAAUCCCAUUCCCAAAAUCCCGUCUACUAACUCUAAUCUAAUCUUUUAAGUUUUCUGUUUUUCCUUUCCGUCGCCCCAGCAGCAGUAAUGAGGACGAGGCAGCGGCAGAGAAAACGAAAAGCGCCAAGAGAACAACAACAACAACAUCAACGCACCAGGCGGCCGCAGCAUCAUCAUCGACGGAGGAAGCGCGGGCAGAUUAGAUGCGCGAGCAAAGCACAAAAUAAUCCAUCCAUCGCAUCCCAAAGGGAAGGCAAGGGAUAGAGAAAGAAAAAGUCCCCACUGCCCGCCCGAGCCGUCAAAAUCCAAUCUUUGACGGGGGACGCCUCGCCCUCCCCUACUGUUCUCCCCUCCGGUUUGUUUUGUUCGCGGCUCCGCGAUAAUUAUUAUUGUCAGGCAGGGAGGCAGCCCCUGGUUGGUGGUUGCUGCUAAUCAGGCUGCCGCCGCUGCCUAAUCCGCGAAUCCCCGCGUGAUUCUCGUCCCAGUUUGGUCGGCUUCUUUCUUUCUUUCUUUCUUUCUUUCUUUCUUGGAGGUUCCUUGGAUUCAUCCGUUCAUCGGGCGGGCGCGCGGGCUCGAUCGGGAUGGGCGGGGGCUGCUGCGGCUGCUGGGUUGGGCUCGCGUCCAAUUCCCCACCACCACCACCGCCACAAGUACGCCUCUUUUUUAUUGUUCCAGGAGUGGGAUUUGCCUUUGCGCUGUGAGAGAGAGGGAGCUAUUUCCGCGAUUCCCAUUAGGGCUCCUCCCUCUUCGUCUCCUCCCCCACGCUUUACUCUUUCGUUAUCCUCCUUUGCGCCCCCCGAAUCCAAUCCUCCCCCCUCCGCCGCCCCCCGUCCGGAUCCGGGGUUCGCCCUCGAUUUCGCCCCGCCGGCCCCCGAUUCGGCCGCCGAAAUCCGUCCCCAGGUAUGUUUCUCGCGCCGAUUUGACGGUUCCUGCCUCAGAUUUGGUCGGAUUUUUCGGGGGAUUUGUGGUCUGAUCCCCUUGUGUUUCGCGGUUGCAGGGUUCCAUGAAGUGACGCCCCCCGGAGGUGAAUUUCUGGGUCUUGCUGAGAGUUUUUGCUUGCGGCCAUGUCGCAAAUCCAGAGCUUGUCACGGAGCUGCGUGCUACUUGCGGUGCUCUGCGGCAAGCACGCCGAUAAGCAGCAGCAGCGUGCGCCGCCGGGGAGGUCGGGGCCGGAGGCGAAGCGGCUGCGGCCGUCCUAUCCGUUUCCUGAGCUCAGCUCAGCGGGGAGGUUGGAGGUCAGUUAGCAGCGCCCUCACUUUGUUGUGCCUGGGGAUGGAUGGAUUUUGCUUGGUAGCUCACAUGGAAGGGGGCUUUUCGAUGCAGGUGCACACGCUGGUCAAUCCAACGCCGGAGCAGUUCCUCGAGGCGCAGCGGCUGGUGCAACCCAACUUCUUCUACAUCCAGGGCCAGCAGCUGGAAGAUGAGGAGAUUGGUUCGCUCGUCUGGGGGGAUGCCGACAUGUCUGACCCGCAGUCGUUUGUCUGUCUCAUCAGCCCGCCGUUCCCAACGAUUGUAAGCGCAGAAAUUUUCUCUCAACUGUCUGCAAUGCUGUUUAUUCCUUGGUUGAGUGGUGGCGGCAAGUUCCAAGUUGCAGUGCUGUUAGCUGUUGAUGGAAUUGAGUUCCUAGUUGCAUGAUACUCGCUGACAUGUUUUGGAGUCAACAUUCUAGUUCCAUAACUAGCCUAUCCCAACUUGUUUGGGACUGAAAGGCUUUGUUGUUGUUGUUGUUGUUGUUGAUUCUAGUUCCAUAACUGCAAUCGGCAAUUUUGAUUGCAGCUGCUGUAUGAAUCUGAAGAAACUUGCCCAAGGAUGUCUGUUUGAUUUGUUGCAAUAAGACAGUUUGUCUAAGAUUGCCCAUGCCACUAGGGUAGCUAAUGUCUUCUCCAUUUCAUUGCAUGAUGUACAUAUUAGCUAUUAUGUUUUCACAGGCAGAUUUUCUCUCCAUACUGCAUUGGAUUUUCUUUGCCUUGUAUUCUUUUGAUUCUUUUUGUCUGUGUGUGGGUGAUGGUAACACUGCGGCUUGGUUAUAACACAGGUUUAUCUGGAGGUUCCUAUUGGUGAAAAACUUGCCCAAGCAGUUCACUCAAAGGUAGACACAUUAAUCUUUGCAAUAUUUUGCCCAAGCAACUAGAGUCCCAUUGUCCAUUUCUCUGAGUGUAGUUGGAGGUUGCACACAGAAGUAUCUAGCAACCUGUCUUAAGUUUCACAAAAGAAAAUCACUUUAUUUUAGUUAUACAAUAUUGUAAUUUGCUAAAUCAUUGACUUUGGUUGUUUCAUUUCAGGGUAUUCCAUAUGUAAUAUACUGGAGAAAUUCAUUUUCAUCUUAUGCAGCAUCCCAUUUUCGCAAUGCAUUGUUGUCGGUAGUUCAAAGGUACUGCCAUCCCCCUUUCACUUUUCAUCAGCAUCAUAUGUCAAUGACAUGUAACGAGACAUGUAACAAUGUGUUUAUGCUUGAAUGUAGUUCGGUGAGCCAUACAUGGGAUUCCUUUCAGCUUGCUCAUGCAUCCUUUCGACUAUACUGUGUAAGAAACAACCAUGUUCAAAGUGUUAAACUCGGCCCUCGUCUGCUUGGUGAUGCUCCAAAGGUAAAUGUAGUCACUCCCGAGAAUGAAAUGGCUGAGGAAGAAGGUUCUUCUUCUGAAGUGUCCCCAGCUAUAAAAAUAUAUGAUGAUGACAUCAACAUGAAAUUUCUUCUCUGCGGAGUACCAAGUGCGCUGGUAAGCUUCGAUAUAUUAGACGUACGGAUUAUCCACAUCUCUUGCAUAUUGUUUGUUACUUGAUUCAACUAUGUCUUAAUUUCAUCUCUAUUCUUGUGCAGGACUCUUGUUUGCUGGGCUCAUUAGAAGAUGGUCUGAAUGCUCUUCUAAAUAUCGAAGUAUGGAGUAAAGCAUUGUAGUUCAACAAUACUUCUUAUCCUCCACGUCCUUCUAUGUAUGGAAUAAACAUGAUUUCUGAGUCAUGGAAUCUCACAAAUGUUCAACUAUUUGCUAAAGAAAAAAAAACGUGGUAUUAUGAUUCUAACAACAACCUUCAUUGACAAUCUAAGAAAUCUUGUUUACAGAAGUAUGAGAUUUGACUAGGUUACAUUUUGUCAAAUCUGUUUUCUCAAUUGCAUGGAUGUUAUCACAUUUACACUUGUUCAAAACAUUUAUGCUCUUGUUUCAAGAGCCAGAAGAAGCUACACUCCUCACUGGACAAUGGUUACAAGCAAGAACUACAUAAAAAUAAAAUCCGUCAUGAUGUGCGGCACCAAACACUGCACGUAAAUGAAAUACUAGAUACAAGACUAGUAAGAAUAUGCAUCCUUUUGUCUUAUAUGUGAAGCGGCAAAACCAUAUUACAUUUUGAUGUUAUGAUCGACACACAUCCAAAAACACCGUACUAUUUAGCUAUUUCUUUUACUACUUGUCCGUAAACAGAUGGAUACACAAAUAAAACAAAUGUGCUAAUCUUAGAUGCUCCAGGAUUUGUUCAGCUAACUCUUAUCUAUCAAUUUUUGUGCCACUUCUGUAAUUCUGUUUGUUUCACUAUACUUUUCAUAUGUAUUAUUAAUAGCUCCAUGUAACGUUUGAUUCUGUUUUGGACAGAUUCGUGGGAGUAAACUUCAGAACCGAAUCAGGUGUGUUGAUUUUCUGUCUGUUGGGUUUGAGAAUUAUUACCUGAUAACCUUCCUGUAGAGUGCUGAAUCAAGUUUAUUUGCUAUACAUUAUGUAUUCUCAGCUAGCUCUUAACUGUUGUUGCUUAUUAUUCUUACUAAAUGAAAGAGAGGGAGGGGACAAGUAGAUUAUUGUUAAAAUGAACCAGUGAGCCUUUGUUGGUAGAGUUGCUAACUAAAAGUACAUGUGUACUACUUUCUUUGUAAAUAUUGGGGUCACCCUGUGCAAGAAGUCUUUUUAUCUGUAGUUUUUUUUUUCUGCUGCCAACUUUAUCUUCGUCGAAGAUUCUUUGUGGGUAAAGCAGAAACUGAUCGGGUGUUCUCAUACGUGGCAGUGCUUCUCCACCGCCUCUUGAAGCAGCGUCUGUACCACGUGGAAUGGUUACAAUGCGUUGUGAUAUGACAACUUGCAGUUCUUCUCAUGUGUCACUUCUUGUUUCUGGGAGUGCACAAACUUGUUUUGAUGAUCAGGUACAGAUUAGCCCAUACUUGAGACCUUUCUUGACUGACCACACAAACUCAUAUGGUGCUUACUAUGUCUGCAGCUUCUAGAAAGCCACAUAAAAAAUGAACUCAUCGAGAAGAGCCAGCUAGUCCGUGCUCUACCAAACAGCGAGGAUAAGCUCUCAUCGACCGAGCCUUUCACUUCUAUGUCCACAGCUUGUGGUGCUUCUACCUUUGAAGUCUGGAUGACCCUUCCUAAGUGGGCAGCACAGGUUGGUUUAAUAGAUUGAAUGCAACAGAUAUGCAACAAAUUUGAAUUCCAUGGUGUGCUGAUAUCGCUUGGCUACUUCUAUUCGUAUUGUCUACGCAUGUGAUUCAGUUUGCUACUUCUAAUGCUCCUAUUAUGUGGACUCCUUAUGACCUUUUUUUAUGCCCCACGCCUGAGUUGUUUACAUAUGAAUCUUUUUUCGUUUAUAUCUGAUGACCGAACAUUAUUUUCUGGAUAUUUAGGUUUUGAAGCAUCUAGCACCAGAAAUUUCAUACAGGAGCCUAGUUGCACUUGGAGUUGGCUGCGUAAAUGCUACUCCUGUUGCUUCAUUCGAGAGGCAAGAUGCAGACCGCCUUCUUUUCUUCUGCACCGGUCAAAGGAAAGAUUCAGCUGGUGAAGGUGGCCCAUAUUUUCAUCUGCCAAGAUGGUCAGCCUCCCUUACCAAGGACAGAGCAAAGACGGGUUCAGAAUCAAAAUCAAAUUUGUUAGUUGUGAAUGGAACUUCAGAGGACAGGAAAGCUCCAGUUGAAGGGCCUUCCUCGCUGACAUCCUUCAAGGGAAAAUUGAAGCCUGCAACUAUGAGGCCUAUUCCUCACUCUCGACAGCAGCAAAUGCAUCCUUUUAUGGGUUUCCCUGAAGCUAACGUUCACGAAACUAGUCAGGCCAAGCCAAACUUGCCAGUUGCUCCACCUGUUAAGCAUCAUAAUUCAGCACCUGCUUCUACAACAGCGCAUAGGAAAUCUACUUCAGGGCCAUCUCAUGCUCAAUCGAUCAUUCAGCUGAAUCCACUUCCCAUGAAGAAACAUGGGUGUGAUCGGUUGCCUAUCCAAGUGUGCUCCGAGGUAUGCUUCUUUGAGCUUGAUGAGGACGGAAUAUCUCUAUACUAAGACCACUACACCAAGCUAGAAUAAUGGGUCUGUUCUUUGACCUUUUGCAGGAGGACUUUCUGAAGGAUGUCAUGCAAUUUUUAAUUCAGAGGGGCCACCAUCGACUCGUUCCUCAUGGAGGUCUAGCUGAAUUUCCUGAUGCAGUCCUUAAUGCAAAGCGCCUUGAUCUCUAUAACUUGUACAAAGAGGUAAUUCUGCACUUCUGCUUACAAUGUACUCUAAUGAUUAUAGAGGUACAAAUAAAUGUGCAUUUUGUUAAUUAUUGUUCCCUGACAAAGGUUUUUGUUUUUUCAGGUGGUGUCCAGGGGUGGCUUUUAUGUGGGCAAUGGUAUAAACUGGAAGGGUCAAGUCUUUUCGAAGAUGCGAAACCACACCGUAACAAAUAGAAUGACUGUAAGUAUCCACUAUUCACUUCGCUUAGAUAGAAUUAUUGAAUUUUGUUAUAUCUUUUAGCUAUCAAAAUGCUGGAGAACAAGGGAACAACCUGUGUGUUGGCCAUUUCUAAAAGUAUUUUUCCAUUUCAAUUUUAACAUGUGCUUACUUAGGUUUGAUCUGGUCUCCAUGAUAACAAUUAAUUACUGCCUUCAAUUUUUCUCUGAAAUUUCAUGAUCACUUCCAUUAGCUCCCUUCAUAGCAAGUUAGCUUUACUGCUGCUGGUCGAGUGAAAUGCUGAACGUGUUCUAAUUUUGCACUUGCCUGUGUAUAUUUAGGGUGUCGGGAACACACUGAAAAGACACUACGAGACUUACUUGCUGGAAUAUGAGCUAUCACAUGACGACGUGGAUGGGGAAUGCUGUUUGCUUUGUCACAGGUCCGAUCCUUUCUGCCAUUAUGUUUGCUUUGGAUUUCAAGUUUGUCACUGAAACCUAACACCAUCUUUGUACAUAAUAAUUUCAGUAGCGCUCCUGGAGAUUGGGUGAACUGUGGUUUAUGCGGCGAAUGGGCUCAUUUCGGUUGUGAUAGACGGCAAGGGCUGGGCACUUUCAAGGUAAAAACUUGUCUUCUUUGAUCCCCACCCCCUCUCCAUGAUAACUCGUCUAACGAUUGGUCUUCUUCUACCUUGCAGGAUUACGCGAAGACAGACGGGUUGGAAUACAUCUGCCCGCAUUGUAGUAUAGCGAAUUACAAGAAGAAGCCUCCGCCGCCCCAGAAAGUAGCCAACGGGUUUGCGAAUACCGUGCUGCCUGUAUCACGGAAUGUUUAAUCCUCUUCUUUUCUUGCUUUUCCUUUUUUUCGCCUCUCUGCCCUAGGUUUCGGGGUGAUGCGUCGGUGGUAGGGUAUAGGCCUGAUAGAGGGGGGAGGCUUUUGUAGUGUUGAUCUGUAUUAUCCCAUUAAUUUGGUUCAGUGUAGGAGCUCAAGUCUUUUAUAGCCUGUAACAACCGACAACACAGGGAGGCUACUUACUGCAGUAGUUGGCCAGAUUCAGUGUAAGCACCUGUUGAUAUAAGUUAAUCUGUAUCCCCGGUUCCAGCCACCAGACUGCUUGUGUUGUCCUUCGCUCGCUCUAGUCGUCUCGGAAUUCAGAUCUUCUGAAUGUUGGAUGUUGUGAAUUGAGGUGCAGAAUCAGUGUACAUUGAACUGCCAGUUUCGUCACGAUAUGACUAUGAUCAUCGCGGCAAUGAGACAGGCAGGUGGAUAUACCAGGUUUGCACUUCGCAGAGCCAAAGUGUAUUAAAGCAACACAGGCUUAAUUUACAGGGAAGGACCAACACACUGCUGGCAAAGUUUAUUUAUUUGCAGUACAACACAGGCUUAAUUUACAGGGUAGUGAAAGUUUAUUUAUUGGUAGUACAACACAGGCUUAAUUUACAGGGUAGGGUAGAUCACACCGCCUUCAGGGCUCUGACCGGCCUGUGGCUUGUGUAGCUGAAGAUGCACAUCAGCUUCGGUCGCGGAACUCGUUCAUGAAGGACUCGUGGAACUCCUUGAGGCGCGGGAUCAUCUCCUUGAUCUUCUCCUCGCCCGGGAGGAUCGUGCACCGGAUAUGACAUGUCCCGGUGGCCUUGUUGCGCCCAGACACCUUUGUUGCGUCCAUGGAAGUCGUUUGCAACAAGAUCAAAGGCCACCAGAGUCAGGCAACUAACA
rnacentral:lncRNA from 1 species